rnacentral:sRNA from 1 species
GCUGGGUGUGGUGGCGCACGCCUGUGAUCCCCAUGGCUGGGGAGGCUGAGGCAGGAGGAUCCAGAGUUCAAAGUCAGCCUCAGCAAAUUAGCAAGGCCCUAAGCAGCUCAGCAAGACCCUGUCUCUA